GGGGCUGUGGCUCAGUGGUAGAGCGCUCACCUAGCAUGUCUGAGGCACUAGGUUCAAUCCUCAGCACCA
rnacentral:tRNA from 1 species